GUUGCCUCCUGAUUUGCAAGCUCAUAGUAUCUUGGCUCCUUCUGAAGAAGCUGACAAUUACCCAAUACUCCUUGCCAGCUGGCUUCAGCCAAUAAAAUUGCAGCAUGCAAAUACAGCAUCCUGCAGCUACUCUCUCCAUCAGGCCACUCCAAAGUAGGAGGGAUUUCCUCUAAGAGGGGAAAUUUGACUCUUAAGUGGAGAAAAGGAAAAAAAAAUUGGAAGGAUUUUCUUUAUGUUGGAGACAUUUCUGCUGCUCAUUAGCAAGAAGAAAAGGAGGAGAAUGUCAACGGGUAUUGUUUUUUCCAGUGCUCCUUGUGUGGGAAAGCAUGUAUUUCAUCUUCUCUGGUGAGAGCAUGAGGUGCAGUCCAGGAGUCCACGUGAUGUUCUCUCUCCUGGAAUGGGGAUGUCUGGCCCGUGCCUGUCCCACCAUAGCAUUCUGGAAGCAUACUGCUUGGUUGGCUUCACAGUUUCCCAACUGAAGAGGAAUUUGUUUGGGGAUGAAUGUACCUGGAGUCUCAUCCACAUCUGACUUAGAUGAUCUUGAGCAAAGUGACCAGUUAUGCAUUCGAAGCCCUCUUUCUACAGGACCUUUAUAUGAAGAGACACAGAGCUUGCUUUCUCUCUCUGCCAUGUGGAUUCAAUGAGAAAAUGGCUGCCUGGGAACCAGGAUGAGGGCUCUCCCCAGACCUGGGAUUUGCCAACACCUCGAUCUUGGACUUCCAGCUUCUAGAACUGUGCGAAAUAAAAGUCUGUUGUUUGGGUCCUUCUAA